ACCUGACCAGCCAUGCCGCGUGCAGGAUGACGGUCCUAUGGAUUGUAAACUGCUUUUGUACGGGAAGAAACACUCCCUCGUGAGGGAGCUUGACGGUACCGUAAGAAUAAGGAUCGGCUAACUCCGUGCCAGCAGCCGCGGUAAUACGGAGGAUCCAAGCGUUAUCCGGAAUCAUUGGGUUUAAAGGGUCCGUAGGCGGUCUUGUAAGUCAGUGGUGAAAGCCCAUCGCUCAACGGUGGAACGGCCAUUGAUACUGCAGGACUUGAAUUAUUGGGAAGCAACUAGAAUAUGUAGUGUAGCGGUGAAAUGCUUAGAGAUUACAUGGAAUACCAAUUGCGAAGGCAGGUUGCUACCGAUGGAUUGACGCUGAUGGACGAAAGCGUGGGUAGCGAACAGGAUUAGAUACCCUGGUAGUCCACGCCGUAAACGAUGGAUACUAGCUGUUGGGGGCAACUUCAGUGGCUAAGCGAAAGUGAUAAGUAUCCCACCUGGGGAGUACGAAACGCAAGUUUGAAACUCAAAGGAAUUGACGGGGGGCCCGCACAAGCGGUGGGAGCAUGUGGGUUUAAUUUCCAUGAUACGCGAAGGAUCUUUACUCAAAGGCUUAAAAUGCAAACUGACCGAUUUUGGAAACAGAUCUUUUCGCAAGACAGUUUAACAAGGUGCUGCAUGGAUGUCGUCAGCUCGUGCCGUGAGGUGUCAUGUUAAGUCCUAUACGAGCGCAACCCCUGGUGUUAGUUGCAGCGAGUGAUGUCGGGACUCUACAAGACUGCCAGUGCAACUGUGAAGAUGGUGGGAUGACGUCAAAUCAUCACGGCCU
rnacentral:rRNA from 1 species